CCUACGGGUGGCAGCAGUGGGGAAUAUUGCACAAUGGGCGAAAGCCUGAUGCAGCAACGCCGCGUGAAGGAAGAAGGGUUUCGGCAUGUUAACCUCCUUUAAUAGGGACGAAAGAAAUGACGGUACUAGCAUAAGAAGACUAGGCUACCUACGUGCAAGCAGCCGCGGUAAUACGUAGGGGGCAAGCGUUAUCCGGAUUUACUGGGUGUAAAGGGUGCGUAGGCGGGUUGGUAAGCAAGAUGUGAAAGCCUGGGGCUUAACCCGGGGAUUGCAUUUGGAACUGUCAGGCUAGAGUACAGGAGAGGUAAGCGGAAUUCCUGGUGUAGCGGUGAAAUGCGUAGAUAUUAGGAAGAACACCGGUGGCGAAGGCAGCUUUCUGGACUAAAACUGACGCUGAGGCACGAAAGCGUGGGGAGCGAACAGGAUUAGAUACCCGAGUAGUC
rnacentral:rRNA from 1 species